CACGUAGGGUGCGAGCGUUGUCCGGAAUUAUUGGGCGUAAAGAGCUCGUAGGCGGUGUGUCGCGUCGAUCGUGAAAACUUGGGGCUUAACCCUGAGCUUGCGGUCGAUACGGGCAUCACUGGAGUUCGGCAGGGGAGACUGGAAUUCCUGGUGUAGCGGUGAAAUGCGCAGAUAUCAGGAGGAACACCGGUGGCGAAGGCGGGUCUCUGGGCCGAUACUGACGCUGAGGAGCGAAAGCGUGGGGAGCGAACAGG
rnacentral:rRNA from 1 species